CCCCCCCUUAAGAUCAAAACUUGUAAUGAGACCUGGAAAAAUAACUUGCACUGCAUAGCUAGAAAUUGGAUUUCCUACACCUAGGGCACUAAUGACCAGUUGUAUACAUGGAGUUACUCUGCUGGCCUGUUGUUAGCCUGACUUGAAGUAACAAGCUCGUGUGUGUUUUAUGUAAAAUCUGUAAAUAGCACAUGACCAAAUUGAACAUAUUGUAUAGAACUAUUUUUAUUUUAAUGUGGCACUAACCACCUUCAUUACUACGGUAAAUGUUAAAGCAUGUUUUCAGAUUCAGUCCUGUAUCAACAAUGUGUAAGUCAUUAACAGUCCUAACUGUGGUGUUUUUCUCCAAUGCCUUCCAACUUUCAUCGACUAAACAAUACUGGAGUAAUCGCUUCCUAAACAAUUUUGCAGAAAUGUAAGGUUGUUUUGUUGCGUGCAUGUGUUUUUAGCAACACAUCUACCAAAACUUCUGCAUGUAUCAUGUGUAAAGAUUCUUUGCUUUCCCUAAAACAAAACUCAUUGUGUUCUCUGUGGAAGAAAUGUGUGGUACCAUUAGGACUUCAUUAUACAGAUGUACAAACGUGCAAUAUAGCUUACCGAGUUGGAAACUCUCUCCAGAGAAGUUUGGGUUCUGUGCUGCAUGGAGAAGAGUUUGUUUAUCCUUGAACAAGAAGCGUGGAGCUGUCAGCCGAUUUUCCACAUUUCUGUAUGUAAAAUGUCAGUUUAUACCAUGUACAAUAUCAAAAUAAUGCAUGCCUUCGGUUGUAGACAAAUCUUUCUCUGUAUUGUAUCAUCCAAACAUACUACUCUAUAACAGCUUAUGUACAAUGCUAUCCUAUUUAUAAAAUUCAUUGAAAAGAUUACAGAUGAAUGUUAAACCGUAAGCCUCCAGUUCAUAACUUUGGAUUUUUUAUCGUGUGCAAAUCAACCUAUUUUGCACUGUAACCUAACUUAUUUAAAUCUAUGGCAGUAAGACAGAUGUUGGUGCAAUACAAAAUAUUGUGAUGCAUUUAUUGAAAAAGCAACAGCCGACUUAGCCAGUUACCACAGCUGCAUGUAUGACCUCUAGGAGUUGUAAAUAAGAUCAGUCGCCUAUUUACAUGCUGACAGUAAGAAGCAUCACACCUAGUUUCAUUUGUAUCAGGUAAAUAAAUUUAUUCUACAAUACGUACUUUGCGUGUUAUUUUAUGCACUUUGUUUUCUGCAGGUACAUGCGUACAUACUUCAGCGCCCUCUUACAUUCAUGCCAGGAUGACACUUACUAGCACCAACACCAUUGCAAUCUUUCCUCCUAGAACUAUGCAGAUGCCAGCUGCUCUUCCAGCAGUAUUGACCUCCUCGCUGGUGUGAUUUCCUCUGUCCAGGGGCUUGUGUGUGUGUUUAAGGGACACUGUCAACUACUUUGAUCACUCAAUUUUUUUAAAAUGCUCCAUUGUUUGUAAAAUCCCUCUGAGAAACUUAAAAUAAACAUUUCUUUCCCAACUA